GAUGAAGAACGCAGCGAAAUGCGAUAAGUAAUGUGAAUUGCAGAAUUCAGUGAAUCAUCGAAUCUUUGAACGCACAUUGCGCCCAUUAGUAUUCUAGUGGGCAUGCCUGUUCGAGCGUCAUUAAGUCCACUUAAGCCCUGCUUAGUGUUGGGAGACUGCUCCAGCGGUGCUACCCUGUAGCUACCCUGCAGCUCCUCAAAGACAGCGGCGGAGUUGUGGUAUCCUCUGAGCUUAGUAACUUGUUCUAGCUUUCGAGUACACCACUUCCCCUGCCGUAAAACCCUUAAUUUUUAAUGGUUGACCUCGGAUCAGGUAGGAAUACCCGCUGAACUUAAGCAUACAAUAAGCGGGGA
rnacentral:misc_RNA from 1 species